AGCUCCAAUAGCGUAUAUUUAAGUUGUUGCAGUUAAAAAGCUCGUAGUUGGAUUUCGGGUGGGCUGCGCCGGUCUCCAUUUGGUUGUACUGGCGACGCCCGCCUUGCUGCCGGGGACGGGCUCCCUGCCUUCACUGUCGGGGACCCGGAAACGGCGACGUUACUUUGAGUAAAUUAGAGUGUUCAAAGCAAGCCUACGCUCUGAAUAUGAUAGCAUGGGAUAACACGACAGGACUCUGGCCGUUCGUGUUGGUCUGACGGACCAGAGUAAUGAUUAAGAGGGACAGUCGGGGGCAUUCGUAUUCCGUCGUCAGAGGUGAAAUUCUUGGAUUGGCGGAAGACGAACAUCUGCGAAAGCAUUUGCCAAGGAUGUUUUCA
rnacentral:rRNA from 1 species